rnacentral:rRNA from 1 species
UGGGGGAUAUUGCACAAUGGGCGAAAGCCUGAUGCAGCGACGCCGCGUGGGGGAUGAAGGCCUUCGGGUUGUAAACUUCUUUUGCUCUGAACAAGGCAUGCUAAUGGGUGUGUUGAGUGUAGGGGUUGAUUAGCGCCGGCUAACUACGUGCCAGCAGCCGCGGUAAUACGUAGGGCGCGAGCGUUGUCCGGAAUUAUUGGCCGUAAAGGGCUUGUAGGUGGCUGGUUGCGUCUGUCGUGAAAGCUCAUGGCUUAACUGUGGGUUUGCGGUGGGUACGGGCUGGCUUGAGUGCAGUAGGGGAGGCUGGAAUUCCUGGUGUAGCGGUGGAAUGCGCAGAUAUCAGGAGGAAUACCGGUGGCGAAGGCGGGUCUCUGGGCUGUUACUGACACUGAGGAGCGAAAGCACGGGGAGCGAACAGG